rnacentral:rRNA from 1 species
GAGGAAAAGAAACCAACAGGGAUUGCCUCAGUAACGGCGAGUGAAGCGGCAAAAGCUCAAAUUUGAAAUCUAGCACUUUCAGUGUUCGAGUUGUAAUUUGAAGAAGGUAACUUUGGUUUUGGCUCUUGUCUAUGUUCCUUGGAACAGGACGUCACAGAGGGUGAGAAUCCCGUGCGAUGAGAUGCCCAAUUCCAUGUAAAGUGCUUUCGAAGAGUCGAGUUGUUUGGGAAUGCAGCUCUAAGUGGGUGGUAAAUUCCAUCUAAAGCUAAAUAUUGGCGAGAGACCGAUAGCGAACAAGUACAGUGAUGGAAAGAUGAAAAGAACUUUGAAAAGAGAGUGAAAAAGUACGUGAAAUUGUUGAAAGGGAAGGGCUUGAGAUCAGACUUGGUAUUUUGCGUUCCCUUCCUUUUUGGUUGGGUUCCUCGCAGUUUACUGGGCCAGCAUCGGUUUGGAUGGUAGGAUAAUGACAUUGGAAUGUAGCUUUACUUCGGUGAAGUGUUAUAGACUUUGUUGAUACUGCCUAUCUAGACCGAGGACUGCGUCUUUGACUAGGAUGCUGGCGUAAUGAUCUUAAGCCGCCCGUCUU